AAUACCCACCCAAAAUCCACUACACCCCCCAAAAAAAAGUACUUUCAGGGUCCUUCGCCCGCAUUCACGAUGACCUAUCAGGUAAUCAGCCUCGAAAAGGGGUAGUGCAUGGGGAAAGGGUGAGUAUGAGAUGGGAAAGGUAAUCUGCCUGGGUUACAACGCGAUCGUUUUGGGUCCGCCACCCGGAUUACUGAAAGCGAAAAAUCUAAGAAUUAAAACAUUUAGUUCAACAGCGAGGAAGCAAAUUGGAAAACCGGCUGAAUGACUUCAACUGGAUCGAGAGCUCAAUUCCAUCACUUAUCUUCAAGUUUGGAUUCAGGUUGAAAAUCUUGAUUUCGGCUCCACAAAGAAAAACUAUUCCACACAAUUGAGACCGAGACAGCCCGACAGUGAAAAUUAGCGCCAACACAAGAACACGAUCCUUUGAAAUGAGGAGCUCGGUGUGUGAGGACGCGUUGUCAACGUGGAGGUCUAACAGAGCUGUGCGUUAGUGAUGGCAAGGAUACCCAGAGGCACGGUAUAUCAGCAAAACCAUGCAGACACUAUGACAAGGGAUAACUGGAAACUGCACAUCAAUCACCAGACAGGAAUGUUCUCUCCCAGUUGGGAACACUUCAGCAUUCAAGGACAUUCAGCCUCCGAGCUUUGGGUAAGUAUCCUCCAAGACAGAUUUGAAGAUACAAGA